GAUCGCAAGACCUUGCGCUGAUUGAGCGGCCGAUAUCAGAUUAGCUUGUUGGUGAGGUAAAAGCUCACCAAGGCGACGAUCUGUAGCGGGUCUGAGAGGAUGAUCCGCCACACUGGAACUGAGACGCGGUCCAGACUCCUACGGGAGGCAGCAGUGGGGAAUUUUGGACAAUGGGGGCAACCCUGAUCCAGCCAUGCCGCGUGAGUGAAGAAGGCCUUCGGGUUGUAAAGCUCUUUCAGCCGGGAAGAAAACGCAUGGGUUAAUACCCUGUGUGGAUGACGGUACCGGAAUAAGAAGCACCGGCUAACUACGUGCCAGCAGCCGCGGUAAUACGUAGGGUGCGAGCGUUAAUCGGAAUUACUGGGCGUAAAGCGUGCGCAGGCGGUUUUGUAAGACAGGCGUGAAAUCCCCGGGCUUAACCUGGGAACUGCGUUUGUGACUGCAAGGCUAGAGUACGGCAGAGGGGGGUGGAAUUCCACGUGUAGCUGUGAAAUGCGUAGAGAUGUGGAGGAACACCAAUGGCGAAGGCAGCCCCCUGGGUCGAUACUGACGCUCAUGCACGAAAGCGUGGGUAGCAAACAGGAUUAGAUACCCUGGUAGUCCACGCCCUAAACGAUGUCAACUAGGUGUUGGGAGGGUAAAACCUUUUAGUACCGGAGCUAACGCGUGAAGUUGACCGCCUGGGGAGUACGGCCGCAAGGUUAAAACUCAAAGGAAUUGACGGGGACCCGCACAAGCGGUGGAUGAUGUGGAUUAAUUCGAUGCAACGCGAAAAACCUUACCUACCCUUGACAUGCCAAGAACUUUCCAGAGAUGGAUUGGUGCCCGAAAGGGAACUUGGACACAGGUGCUGCAUGGCUGUCGUCAGCUCGUGUCGUGAGAUGUUGGGUUAAGUCCCGCAACGAGCGCAACCCUUGUCGUUAAUUGCCAUCAUUUAGUUGGGCACUUUAACGAGACUGCCGGUGACAAACCGGAGGAAGGUGGGGAUGACGUCAAGUCCUCAUGGCCCUUAUGGGUAGGGCUUCACACGUCAUACAAUGGUCGGUACAAAGGGUCGCCAAGCCGCGAGGUGGAGCCAAUCCCAGAAAGCCGAUCGUAGUCCGGAUCGCAGUCUGCAACUCGACUGCGUGAAGUCGGAAUCGCUAGUAAUCGUGGAUCAGAAUGUCACGGUGAAUACGUUCCCGGGUCUUGUACACACCGCCCGUCACACCAUGGGAGCGGGUUCCGCCAGAAGUAGGUAGCCUAACCGCAAGGAGGGCGCUUACCACGGCGGGGUUCGUGACUGGGGUGAAGUCGUAACAAGGUA
rnacentral:rRNA from 1 species